rnacentral:rRNA from 1 species
UACGUAGGGUGCAAGCGUUGUCCGGAAUUAUUGGGCGUAAAGAGCUCGUAGGCGGUCAGUCGCGUCUGCUGUGAAAACUCGGGGCUUAACUCCGGGCCUGCAGUGGGUACGGGCUGACUAGAGUGCGGUAGGGGAGACUGGAAUUCCCGGUGUAGCGGUGAAAUGCGCAGAUAUCGGGAGGAACACCCGUGGCGAAAGCGGCUUCCUGGUCCAGCACCGACGUUCAGGCACGAAAGCGUGGGGAGCAAACAGGG